GAUGAACGCUGGCGGCGUGCUUAACACAUGCAAGUCGAACGAAGCGCUUAAACGGAUUUCUUCGGAAUGAAGUUUUUGCGACUGAGUGGCGGACGGGUGAGUAACGCGUGGGUAACCUGCCUCAUACGGGGGGAUAACAGUUAGAAAUGACUGCUAAUACCGCAUAAGCCCACAGAACCGCAUGGUUCUGGGGGAAAAAGGAGCAAUUCGCUUUGGGAUGGACUCGCGUCCGAUUAGCUGGAUGGUGAGGUAACGGCCCACCAUGGCGACGAUCAGUAGCCGGACUGAGAGGUUGAACGGCCACAUUGGGACUGAGACACGGCCCAG
rnacentral:rRNA from 1 species